UUGGCUCAGUCCAAAGAAAAAAUCAGGUUGGUUUAUGCAGUGGAUAACAGGUAGGAGAAGUCCUGGAAACACUGCUAAGGAUAUGGGCUGAAGGAAAUGUUCUGGCAAACUCAAUUUUGGCCCUGACAGAAGGCUGUCUGCUAUCUCACCCUCUAAGCAGAGAUUUUUGGCAGUUUAGGAGUGAAUAAUUUCCACUGCCAAGUGACUGAAAUGUAUUCUCUGUGAUACAUUAUUUUACAUAGCAGGUCAGGAAGGGUAUCAGUGAAUGGGAGCUCCACAUCCCUUCCUGGCAUGGGCUGAACAGCUGAGAUACACUGCCUGCAGGAGCUAAGAGAUGUCUGGAGCAGCUAAGAGCUUGUGGAGCUGCACUCACCAUGUAGGAGGCUCUGAGGCCAAAGAAGGAGAAACCAAUUUGAGUAUGGUAACAUUGAAGCCUUAGUUGAGAGAUGAUGAAAUCUGGUGGAGAGACACUUAACUGUGAAGCACAGUGGAGAGCUGGAACCAUCUCUAAUCAAAGCAUCCUUCAGGACUGAUACCCUGGGGGAACAGGAGCAAGCAGGGGACUGUGAAACACUGCACAAGCCUUGCAGGGUGUGACAGCACUUGCAGGGAUACAAACUUGGGUCUCAGCAGAGGAACAAACUAAACUAGUGCAAACGUGUUUUUCUCAGGUAGUACUACCUGAGGAAGUAAAAGAACAUUUACCAACCCAUCUAUAGUAGAGAGCCUGCUGUGAGCUUUCACUCUCUUCAUACCUUUGCAGAUGCUGUAAGCACCCCUGCUAAGGGUUUAGAUAUUUCUUCAAUUAAACGUAACAGGAAUUUUAAAUUGUUUUCAACAGAAAAAGAUGCAAAGAGAACAAAGCAGCACAUUCAAUGUCUGAGUCUGUUGAAAUAAAUGUCUGCAAUUCAUUUGCUCAUUUUAAUCUAACUUAAAGAGUUAAUGUUGUUUAAGCACAGCUUGCAUUGGCACAUAGUGGAAGAAAGCAAAAACAAUUCAUUAAUUACUGUUCACUGACCAGUUAUGAUUUUGAAACAUGCUCAAUUAGUGAACAGUAUACCUCCAAAUCACAGUUAAAGUGAAUACAAAAAUUUGAAGCACAAUUACCAAUGUCAUUAUUAUUAACUAUUCUACCUUUGAGGGAUCACUCUGUCAAAAAGAAUAAUUUUAUCAAUACAUUUUUAAUUCCUUUUUAUAAAACACAUAUUUGUAAGAAAAGGGAGUAAGGAAGACCUGUAAAUUAAAAAAAAAUCCAUUAAAAGGCAUUUUUUUUCCUUGGAUAGAAUUCCUACCCAGAAAUGAUACCAUCCUUAUGAUUAACUUCUCAGAAUACUAGACUUAGGGACAGCCCUUAACUUGCUCCUCUGCAAAUCAAUGCUCUAUUUUUUGAUUGUAUCCAAAAGCAC